rnacentral:tRNA from 1 species
CUAGGUGGCAGAGUGGUCAUGCAGCGGACUGCAACUCCGUUAACGCCGGUUUGAA